rnacentral:rRNA from 1 species
GACGAACGCUGGCGGCGUGCUUAACACAUGCAAGUCGAACGGAAAGGCCCUGCUUUUGUGGGGUGCUCGAGUGGCGAACGGGUGAGUAACACGUGAGUAACCUGCCCUUGACUUUGGGAUAACUUCAGGAAACUGGGGCUAAUACCGGAUAGGAGCUCCUGCUGCAUGGUGGGGGUUGGAAAGUUUCGGCGGUUGGGGCUGGACUCGCGGCUUAUCAGCUGGUUGGUGGGGUAGUGGCUUACCAAGGCUUUGACGGGUAGCCGGCCUGAGAGGGUGACCGGGCACAUUGGGACUGAGAUACGGCCCAGACUGCUACGGGAGGCAGCAGUGGGGAAUAUUGCACAAUGGGCGGAAGCCUGAUGCAGCAACGCCGCGUGCGGGAUGACGGCCUUCGGGUUGUAAACCGCUUUCGCCCGUGACGAAGCGUGAGUGACGGUAAUGGGUAAAGAAGCACCGGCUAACUACGUG